AGACAAAAAAAAGUUGCAAAAGAGAGGAUCCUCACUCAGUUGAAGGAUACACUGAGGAAACCACUCCACUCCCACUCCAUGCAGACCCAAUCCAUUACAUAGUGAGGAGGAAGUUGAAUCCGAAAUGGUGGACACAAAUGUGGAUUUGUUCAAUUACCCAGGGAAUUCUCAAUCAACCAGACAAAAAAAGGUUGGAAAGGAGAGGGUCCUCACUCAGCUGAAGGAUACACUGAGGAAACCACUCCACUCUGAUCCACGCAGAACCAACCCGUUACAUAGUGAGGAGGAAGUUCAAGCCGAAACCGUGGACACAAAUGUGGAUUUGUUCGAUUACCCAGAGAAUUUUCAACCAACCGAUACCUUAGAUGCUGCUGAGGCAAGUGGAGAGAGCGUGGAACAGCCAUUAUUUGUCAGUGGUGAAGUGUUGAAAGCUUUGAAAGAAAUUCCCACCUUAGUGCAGUGUGUCAAGGAACUAAUAUCCUCAAUGAACAGAGGGAUGGAUACAGCAAGCACAAGCUCAGGGUCCUCCAGCUCAGCCCAAGAGAUGACACUGUCAUAUCUGAGUUUCCGGGCACGUCACAGUCCGAGGUUAGAGCCGUAAUACGGCGAAAGUGCAAUAACGAAAGUUUUGUUUCAAAAAAAAACACUGUAAAGGUAAUUUUUUGUUGUUGUUGGGAAAGGAAUGUGAAAGUAAAGAAGAAAUUUGUGUUUUGUUCAUAUAAGAUACGUACAGUAAUCUGUAGUUUAAUCAUUUUAUUAAAGGGUUAGUUCACCCAAAAAUCGAAAAGUUCUUUGUAUUUAGUCACCCGCGUGUUGUUCUAAACCCUUAAGACUUCCAUUAACCAUCGCAUCACAAAAUAUUAUAUUUAUGAUGGAAUCUGAGCGCUGGAUAAGUCUUCCAUUGACUUCCAAGGGGCUUAAACUUGCUCGAUCAGAAAUCGUAUUAAGACAUUGUUUGAAAUUGUCUAAGUGACUCCAGUGGCUCAACCAUCCAUUUAUCAAGCGACGAGAAUAGUUUUUUUGUGCCAAAAACAAACAAAAAUAACGAAUUUAUUCCAAUAUCCAUUUACUCGUGUUGUGCUUGAAAGUUGUUUACGUAGUGUAUCUGCGCGAGCUUCUGGGUUCUACGUCACCAGGCGUCACACACAUGACCUGCGUUGGCCAAUAGUGAGCCUGUGUGGUGACGUAGAACCCAGAAGCGCUGCGCAGAUAGACUACGUAAACAACUUUGAAGCACAACACUAGUAAAUGGAUAUUGGAAUAAAUUCGUUAUUUUUGUUUGUUUUUGGCGCAGAAAAAGUAUUCUCGAUGGUUGAGCCACUGAAGUCACUUGGACUAUUUUAAACAAUGUCUAUAUGUUUUCUGAUCGAGCAAGUUUAAGCCCCUUGGAAGUCAAUGGAAGACUUAUCCAGCGCUCAGAUUACAUCAUAAAUAUAAUAUUUUGUUAUGCAAUUAUAAAUGAAAGCCAUACGGGGUUAGAACAACACGCAGGUGAGUAAAAACUGAGAUCAUUUUGAUUUUUGGGUGAACUCCUUUAAUGCUUUUAGUUUAAGCUUGCCACUUGUGUUAUUUUGUUUCCCAACAGUCUGUUUGGACUUUAAUAAUGUUUAAAAAAAAUAAAGUGUUUUUUAAGAAAGAGAUGCUUUUUGUUUGUACACAUACCAUUCCUCCUGUAUCCUUUUAAGCUAUAGGUGUUUUCAUUUACAUGAAUUACAUUUACCGGUUAUUUUUAUCAAAUGCAUUACAUCUAACUUUAAAAUGAUUAUUGUAUUAAACGCCUUCAUCAAUGGUGGACAAUUUUAACAUUUACAUUUUAACAGUAUAACUUCAGCAUAAAUGAGGCAGAAAAUGCUACUGAUAACACAGUAAUAGUGUACUUGACUAAAAAAAAAAACCAUUAACAUUUAAAUGUUUUAUAAAAGUACUUUUGACAUAGUUAAAAUACAUUUUUACAAUAAAUUAGUUUCCAUAAAUAUAAUAUGAUUGUAUAUUCUUAUAUUUUAAAGAAUUUAAAGGUGUAUUUAAACAUGUUUUAAAGAUGGGUUCUAUUGCUCUAAGGGGGAAAAAAAAUAAAGCUGAAAUAAUAUUUUAAAAUCAUGUUUUAAGUUCAUCUUAAGUUUGUAUAAAAAUAGCACAGUUGAUAUAUUCUUAUAUUUUAAAUAAUUUAUGUGUAUUUAAAAAUGUAUUAAAGAUUUAAUCUAAAGAUAAAAUUAAAGCUGAAAUAGUAUGUUAAAAGCAUAUUUAAGUUCAUCUUCAGUGUGUCUCAAAAUAGCACAGUUGAGUACACUAAGAUGAUCUUAAGUUUAUAUUAAGAAGUACUAAAGAACAUUUUUUAGUAUAUUAAAUACAAAAUAAGUGCGUGAAAAUAGAGCACUUUAAAUACAUUAUGGAAGUGUAUUAAGUGCACUUAAAUAAAAUGUAUUUUAGUGUACUUUUUUAAUCUAGGAAUACAUUAUAAGUAUAAUUUGUAUAUAAUUACAUAUUAUUAUUAUUAUCAUUUAAAUAGUUUAUUAUUGUAUUUAAAGAUGGUUUCAAUUAUACUAAAACUGGUAACGAAAUACAUUUGUUGAAAAUAUGAAAUAGUAUAUUAAAAAUACACUUUAGUUUAUCUUCAGUGUGUCUCAAAAAAGCACAAUUGAGUACACUAAGAUGAUUUUAAGUUUAUAUUAAGCAGUACUAAAGGUAAGCUUUUAGUAUAUUAAGUGCAAAAUAAGUGUGUCGAAAAUAGAGCACUUUAAGUACAUUAUGGAAGUGUAUUAUGGAAGUGUAAUAAAAUGUAUUUUAGUGCACUUUUUUUAAUCUAGGAAUACAUUCUAAGUAUAAUUUGUAUAUAAUUUAAUAUUAUUAUUAUUAUAAUUUAAAUAGUUUAUUAUUUUAUUUAAAGAUGAUUUCAAUUAUACUUAAAGUGGUAACAAAAUACAUUUUUAAAAAAUAUGAAAUAGUAUAUUAAAAAUACACUUAAAUUCAUCUUCAGUGUGUCUCAAAAAAGCACAAUUGAGUAUACUAAGAUGAUUUUAAGUUUAUAUUAAGC
rnacentral:lncRNA from 1 species